rnacentral:rRNA from 1 species
GAUGAACGCUGGCGGCGUGCUUAACACAUGCAAGUCGAACGAAGCACUUUAUUUGAUUUCCUUCGGGACUGAUUAUUUUGUGACUGAGUGGCGGACGGGUGAGUAACGCGUGGGUAACCUGCCUUGUACAGGGGGAUAACAGUUGGAAACGGCUGCUAGUACCGCAUAAGCGCACAGCAUCGCAUGAUGCAGUGUGAAAAACUCCGGUGGUAUAAGAUGGACCCGCGUUGGAUUAGCUAGUUGGUGAGGUAACGGCCCACCAAGGCGACGAUCCAUAGCCGACCUGAGAGGGUGACCGGCCACAUUGGGACUGAGACACGGCCCAAACUCCUACGGGAGGCAGCAGUGGGGAAUAUUGCACAAUGGGCGAAAGCCUGAUGCAGCGACGCCGCGUGAGCGAAGAAGUAUUUCGGUAUGUAAAGCUCUAUCAGCAGGGAAGAUAAUGACGGUACCUGACUAAGAAGCACCGGCUAAAUACGUG